rnacentral:rRNA from 1 species
UCAUGAUUUACAUUUGAGUGAGUGGCGAACUGGUGAGUAACACGUGGGAAACCUGCCCAGAAGCGGGGGAUAACACCUGGAAACAGAUGCUAAUACCGCAUAACAACUUGGACCGCAUGGUCCAAGUUUGAAAGAUGGCUUCGGCUAUCACUUUUGGAUGGUCCCGCGGCGUAUUAGCUAGAUGGUGGGGUAACGGCUCACCAUGGCAAUGAUGCGUAGCCGACCUGAGAGGGUAAUCGGCCACAUUGGGACUGAGACACGGCCCAAACUCCUACGGGAGGCAGCAGUAGGGAAUCUUCCACAAUGGACGAAAGUCUGAUGGAGCAACGCCGCGUGAGUGAAGAAGGGUUUCGGCUCGUAAAACUCUGUUGUUAAAGAAGAACAUAUCUGAGAGUAACUGUUCAGGUAUUGACGGUAUUUAACCAGAAAGCCACGGCUAACUACGUGCCAGCAGCCGCGGUAAUACGUAGGUGGCAAGCGUUGUCCGGAUUUAUUGGGCGUAAAGCGAGCGCAGGCGGUUUUUUAAGUCUGAUGUGAAAGCCUUCGG